AAUAUUGGACAAUGGGCGAAAGCCUGAUCCAGCCAUGCCGCGUGGGUGAAGAAGGUCUUCGGAUUGUAAAGCCCUUUAAGUUGGGAGGAAGGGCAGUAAGUUAAUACCUUGCUGUUUUGACGUUACCGACAGAAUAAUCACCGGCUAACUUCGUCCCAGCCGCCCCGGUAAUACGAAGGGUGCAAGCGUUAAUCGGAAGUACUGGGCGUAAAGCGCGCGUAGGUGGUUCGUUAAGUAGGAUGUGAGAGACCCGGGCUCAACCUGGGAACUGCAUCCAAAACUGGCGGGCUAGAGUGCGGUAGAGGGUGGUGGAAGUUCCUGUGUAGCGGUGAAAUGCGUAGGUAUAGAAAGGAACACAAGUGGCGAAGGCGACCACCUGGACUGAUACUGACACUGGGGUGCGAAAGCGUGGGGAGCAAACAGG
rnacentral:rRNA from 1 species